rnacentral:lncRNA from 1 species
CACUUGCGGCCUACUCCGCGUGAGACUCACCACGGCCCUCCGCGCGCCACACCUUCGUGCCUGCAGGCCGGCAGCUGCACCCCGGCUGCCACGCAGUACGACUACUCCCCGCUGGCCAUUACCUGGACGGCGCCCUUCCACGUGGCACACGAGGAUGAUGAAACCUCAAGUUCUGCCAGCGGCAGCAGCAGCGGCGGUGACAGUGGCACCUCCCCCGCUGCUAGCACCCCCGGACCGAAGCCCGCUGGCCCCCGCCCUGAGGGCAGCCCCGCUCCUGGCGCCAAGCCCGAGGGCAGCCCUGUGCGUGGCCCACAACCCGAGGACAGCGCCCCCGGCCCCCGGCCCGAGAACGGCCCUGCUCCUGGCCCUGAGCCCGGGGACAGCUCUGCGCGUAGCCCUGUGCCUGCAGGCGGUGCCCCCGGCCCCCGGCCUGAGGACGGCGGCGCUCCCGCAGGCGGCCCCGGCCCCAAGCCCUCGAUUGAGCCACGCAAGCCCGCUGCUUCUCCUAAGAUUAAGAGCCGCCCUUCUCCUCGGGCCCGGCCCAGCCCCCGGCCCGGCAAGCGCGGCCUCUCACGCCGGAUGAUUGAGGCAUAAGUUGUGUUGGACUUUGUGGACUGCUGCAAUACUUCAUGGGUGGGUUUUUGUGAUAUGGGAAGCUGAUGCUUCGGUCCGCAUCAUAGGUAGGCCACAUUGCACAUAUUUGCACACAUACACGCAUACACACUACCACAUCCUUUGUUCAUAUAAGGGUUCGCAUGUAGAGCACGCUCGGUACGACGACACGUAGCUCGAAGACAGCAAUGAUGCCAGCAUUUGACUGCCACGCAGUCGUAAUCGUGUGCAUGCGUUGUUGCACGGUUGUGGGCUGUUGCCCCACGCCAUGUUAGUUGAUGCUGUCGCACACAAGGUUGGGCACACCGCCGUACCCGUGUCAUGUGGGGCGGUUGUCGCCAGGUUUGGGGCAUUCAUUUCUCGCAGGGGUGCAUCUUGGGAUGGCGGCAUAGAUCAUACUUAUUGUUGCCAAACACGACGGCGAAUUGGUGGCCCGGGCGCGGCAGACUGGCAGAGGGAUUAGGCGCCCGAGCCAGGCGCACGCACGUUCCAGUUUCUGUGGGGCAAUCUAGCAGCGGCAGAACUUGCAUCAAUAAUACGUUACACUGGCACGUUCAGAAACAUAAGGGCGCACCGGCGCUCACAGCGUUUCACGAGGUUCAAGUUUUUGCACGGGCCUUCUGCAUCUGUAAGUUAUUCAACUUCGCAGGCCGUCCAAGCGCCACGCGCUGUGCUAUGUACUGGGCAAUUGCAGUGUCCUACUCCGUGCCUACUCCCAACAACCAGUAUAUACAGACCAAGAAUGAAUGCUCCUGCGAUGCAUGCAAUGCCCACGCACAAUGCACCGUGAAGUACGGCGUGGCGACUUAACAGGUGGCGGGCAGUGUGCGUGUUCAGUCAACCAGCAGCCAAACUACCGUGGCUCAGCACGUCACACGUCUACCCGGGGCCCCAAGCCUUGCCACGUCACUUUUCCAAGGUUUCAUCGCCUCAGCUCACGUGCUGUACGUCACCUACCCCCCUCUCCAACAACAACACGCCAUGCAAUGGGCGCAUCACGUGCGGCCGGGGCGGCCCACCCAGGCCACGCGACCUUUGAGCUGUUUCUCACAAAUGGACACGGAGCACGUGCACCUGCGGGGGGAGGGAGGCGGCACAGGGAGGCGGUGUGCCCGUCAUUCAGCGGGGAGGCAUGGCGAGGAACUGGAGUGGCAGGGGGCAGGGACCAAGUGCGCACACGAACGAAUGACCCAGACUCGCUUACAUUCAGAUGACUGCGGUCCACUCACCAGGAGUAGGAGGAUGCGUCGGAGUUGCGGCGGAUGGGCCCAGACAGCGGGUUGUGGUGGGCGACAGUGGGGUCGUCCUCGUUCGUCUCGUUGUCCACAGACUGCGCGUGCAGAUGUGUAGGGGGCCAUGCAGGCUAGUUUGCAUAUCGCAACCCAAAAUGCUGCGAUGUAAGUAUGUUACUGGAGAUGAUGCGGGGUGGCGGCAGCACAAGAUAUAAGCAGGCAGGAGGAUGACGAGGACUCAAGGAGGGAUCUCAGGCUGGACCGCCCUCCUCACCUGGAUGUCAACGCAGCACACCAUGUGGUCACUGGCCGAGGCGGGGAAGCAGUGGUCUGCACGACAUCGGGGGGAUUUGGGCGACACUGGGUUGAGCGCGGGCGUGCGGCGAGGUAUAGUACAGAAUACACUGGGCCCCGGCAGCGGCACGGCGGCACGCCCAACAGCCCCUGGUGCAACCCCAACACCCGUUGGGAGCCCAUUGAGCGCGCCUCCACCAGCAACCCCUCUUAUCAACGGAUGAAACAAUUUCAGCAGCGUCCUGGUGCCCCAGCGCAGCGCGUGGACCGCUGCCUCCUGCUGCUGGCUCGUCUCACCCGUCUCGUCCUGCCGCCAGCCAUGCGCGGCGCCAGGGUUCUUCAGGGUCCCGCAGCAGCGCUUGCCGCCGCGCUCCCAGUUACACGAGUAGUCUCCCUCCUCAGAGUCUGUCGCCUUCACCCCAAACUGUGCGGCAUGCGUGCGUGCAGGGGAGAACGGGGUAGCAGUGGUUGGUGUCUGCUGAGACAUGCCAGUGGAGGAUGAGCUCCGCAACUCCUUUACAAGCGCUUUCUAAGCUGUCACUCCCAUGUAGUAGCCUACAUACCUGUGCUGCGUACGGGCGGGCUAUGAGCGCGGAGAGCGCGAAGAGAAGGAGAGCGACGCGCAUGGUCAGUUGUGUGGUCGCAGCUCUUGUCUAUCGGCUAAUUUGAAUUAAAGCGGACGUAAUGCUUAGCGACAGCUAUGUCUUUUGGUAGCAGCGCCAACGAUGUCUGCCGUUCUAGGGGCCAACUCACCGUGGCGCUCGCCAGGGCCACAACUCAUGAAGGCCCCAUGCACAGCCCGUGAGCCCCUCCCGACCCCCCCGGUAACCCUUCCCGCCAGGAUGCUUCCUCCAGCAGCCAUGAUGAUUCCUGUACAGUUACACACUCGGUCUUCCCCUUUUCCGCAGCAUCACAAUCUUCCUCCGGAUGGCGUGCAGCAGCCCCAUUUAAACCACCGCAAUCACCAGAGCGAACCGCUGCCCGUCAAAAUCUGGAGCUGACUUGCUGGGCCGCCCAGUCGCAGCGGCUCUACCUCCGGCUCACGUGACUCCCCACACGACAAUUCCACCGCCCCGCACGCUACACACUGCUCUGCCCACCGGCCGCCUUGCUUCUGGUACGUCUCCCGGCGCCGCCUCAUGCAUGUCCACCCCGUGUCUGCGCGACUGCGCCUCGCACACAUAACUUCUCCGCCCCACACGCCCCACAGCACCGCGCUGCCCCUCUCCCCUCUACCUUCCCCUUCCCACUCUCCUCUCUCAACCCCAACUCCAACUCCGUCACCGCUCACUCCUCACGGCGCCUGGUUGCCGUCUAGCUGCAGCCCGCCCGCGGGGCUAUCCAUGGUGCGCAUCGUCUUGAGCUGGUCCGCACCCUCGAUGGUGAAGUUCAUGCGCUCCGCCUGCUCGCGCUUCUUGGCCUGCACCUUGUCGUUGAUGGCUGUAAGCAGGCGGUACAUGACGGCGGCGGUUGGCGCGCCGUCCUCCAGGUCCUUGCCGUAGCCCUCCAGCGUCACCACCACGUCCGCGUUCUCGUAGUACCUGCGGGAGCGUGGGAGUGAAUGGAGGAGGUGGAGGAGUGAGGACGAGGGGAGAAGAGGAGAAGGAGGAGGAGGGCGAGUGAGAGCGAGGGGAUCUGGGUAUGCCAGUUGUGUCCACGGGGGUUUUGGACUGUUGUACGUGGAAAUUGGUUUGUGAGUCGCUGGUGGUAUUGACGCCCCCACCCCCACCCCGCCUGCAAACUGCUGAUGUCCCGCGUUGCUGCGACCCUUCCCGCUUGAACUGCUCCGUCGACCCAAUCAGGUUGGCGUGGCUUUGACCGGACUGCGUUGCGGGCCAGCCCGCCGGCCCUCCGUCUUCAUCUGCCAGUGUGCCUCAUUCUCGCCCCCACGGCCCCGGACCCCACCGCCUCACUUGCGGCGGUCCUCCAGCAGCGCGUCCAGCUUGGUCUUGGCGACCUGCUGCAUGUCCGCCCCCUCCGGCGCGUCAGCUGCCAGCAGCGGCCGCUUCUCAAUGCCGUCCUUGGCCACACUGCACGGCCAUGGCGUGGUGAUGGCGGCGGUGGUGAGUCACGGCAAGGCAGUAGUCGUGAAAGGCGCACCCACCUUAAGGUCAUGGCUGUAAGGAUGCCCUCAGGCGCCCCGCACGGUUCCCACGGUUCACACGCACACAGAGGCCGCCACCCCGCUCCCUGCCCCCUGCCGCCUGCCCCCAGCCCCCCUGCCCCCAGCCCCCCAACCCCCCUGGCUCCUGCCGCCUGCCCCCCUGCCGCCUGCCCGCUCCGCUCUCACCGGCGUGCCAGCAGCUCCGUGUCUCCGUUGAGCCAGGCCACAAUGCCCAGGUGCAUGUAGCCCCAGUUCUGGGGCUUGAGCACGGCGCCGCCGCCCGUGGAGAUGACCAGGUUGCGGUAGGGCGACAGCUCCUUGAUGAUCUGUGAGUGCAGGCAGGUGGCAGAGAUUACAAGGUGAGAGGGUCGAUCCUGUGCGUGUAUGUGUGCGUCUGCAUGGGCGGGUGCUGACGCCGCACUCAGUACACAAGAGUCCACGUACACUGCAGCCCACCCCUUCCCAUCCCACCCCACGCACCCACAAAACCCGCAACCCUGGCCCCCCGUCUCGCAUGACGGCUAUUCGCCGCACGCCGCACCUGCGACUCGCACUGCCGGAAGUAGUCCUGCCCCUCCUCCGCGAAUAUCUGGCUGACGGGCUUCUUGUCGUGCGCCAACUCGAUCACCGAGUCGGUGUCAAAGAAGGCGUAUUUGAGUGUGUUGGCCAGCAUCUUGCCCACGGUGCUCUUGCCGCUGCCCAUCAUGCCCACCUGGAAAGGAGGGGUAGCGGGGUAGAGGGGUGCGUGGCGUUGGGAGGGGAGAGGGGUAAGAGGGGCAGGGGAUGCGGGGGGGAGGGUUGCCACGUUGGAAGGGUGGGGAGGCGCCCGGAAGGGGGAGCUAAGGCGGGUAAGGAGGCCAGGGAGUGCGUGCCGGCACGGCUCCGCGCUGGCGGGGAAACAUUUGCCCUCAGUGUGCCCCAACACGUGUACCGUACACACGCACAGGCUACGUCCGCCCAGGCGCUGAGAGCCGGCCGACACAAGUCCCCAGAUGGGGUCGUCCGACCUGCCGGUCGGCGCGCACACCCGCGCACCCAGCGCAUACCCCCGCUGCGACCGGUUAUCCCACUCAUGCCCCAAUCCCACUGACGCGCACGCGUCUGUCCCCACUCCCAUGCCGAACCGCAAUCCUGGCCUGGGCACCAAACUACAGCGGCCGGCCAUUUUCACACACCACCACACAAAACGAUUCCUAGUGCACUCGCCCCAUGCACGCCGCCCCCCGGGUUUGGGUUCACUCGGUUGGCUUGCUUCGGGUCCCGGAUUGAGCUACCCCCCUCCUCCCACCGCAACGCCGCGCCGAGCACUGGGCCCAGCAGUACAAGCUGCCACAUUGCUCCGGCGUCGGACCCACGACCACACAACCUUAUCAGCCCACCCAUCUCCCUGGCAACACAGCAGCACAGCAGCAACACGGCAGCACACGGCACUGCUGCUGCUGCUGCUGAGCCACCACCUCCCAUCGCGUCUUCCCCUCCCGGCCUGCGCCACCGCACAGCCUCCUCCGCCAGAGCAGCCUCCUCCCCCGCCUGCUCACCAGCCAGAUGUUGCAGCCGCGCAGGUCGGGCAGCAGCUGGUCCGUCACCUCCUUCACCUUGUCGCCCAACAGGUCGAAGUCCUCCUCCCAGGGGUAGGGGUGGCCGGGCGUCAGGCCAGUCAGGUCGGCCUGCUGCAGGGGGCCGGGGGCCGGGAGGAGUACGGGAGGCCGGGACUGCGUCAUACGCGACUAGGCCGGAGCGGACAUGUCCCUUAGAGGGAGUUUGCGCGUUGGGUGGGUGUCGGCGAUGUGGGUUGGACGCAAACAGGUGCAUGGGGGUGGCAGCAGGAGCCGAGGCAAGCGCAGGCGAGGCUAGGUGGUGCAACACUCGUGCCCCUGACCGACCUCAGCCCGCACGACGACCACGCGCGAGGGAGCCUCGACGCGUGCGUCCUGGCGCAGAACACGCUUGCUGCUGAAGUUGGCGCGGUGGGCCGUGAACGGCACUUGGCUCGCGACCGAGCGCAGGGCGGCCGAUGACCGCUGAACCUGGCCGGCCCGGGCCCCGCCAGCCAUGGGACGCUGCAUAGGCAUUGACAUUUUAGUGCGUCCUAACAAUAGACGUCAGGUCUGUCAAUAGUCCAGUGAAAAUCGCGCCCCAGCCAAAUUCAGUGCGAGACCACCCUGGUAAUGGUUAUAUGUGUGUUGAAUUGUAACUAAUUGACAAGUGCCGAACAAACAGCUGCACUUAACGAGUUUCCAUGCACACCGCAUUUCACCCGCUUGCGCCGGGUAAGUCGACUGCAUAGUGAGCCACUGUACAUAAAGUCAGCCAGCACACUACUUGUGAUGCAUAGAAGAGCAACAUGGGCUCCCGUUCUGUGGCGUCCGGGGGAUGCAUCCACUCUUCUUCUCAAACCUUCCAAACCUCACUUCGCGUCGCCCGGCCCAAACUUGUAGUGAGGGCUUCAACUGUAGAUGUAUUCACAGCACCGCAGGCACAAACGUGGAGUCCCGCGCUUAAACCGGCGGACAGCGCGACUCGUGCGGUGGAACGCUCGCUUCGCGAGUGGAUUACAGCUCAUGGAGGCUUCAUCCACACAAGCAUUCGGCUUACGGACAACGCUCCAUGCGGGUGCCGCGGCGUUGUUGCCUCGUCACCGCUUACCCGCGAAGACGUGGAAGACCCUAUCCUUGUGGUCCCGGAGGUGAGUACGCCAGGCCAUCACACCCGGCUACCCGGACAAGGGAGACAGCUUUCCACCCUGGAAACUGAAUGGAAACUGCAUGCCAACUGGCAGCUCAGCCCCACCACCAAGGCAGUCAAGCUGAGCUGCAGGCUCGAAGGCCAAACCCGGGUUGUCCUGCCGGCCUCCUGAUGUGCGCCUGGAGCCUUUCCUCCCACACAGUCACACACCGUAUCCCACGUCCCGCAGAACCUCUACCUGACCACCGACAACGCUCGCGCCUUUCUGCGGCCGCUGGACGAAAAGAUACAGCGCAGCAGCAGCAGCGGCAGCCGCUCCGCUCCAGCCUCCCAAGGCCCGGGUGCUGGCCUGCUCAGCGGCUUGAAGCUGCCGCUGUGGGGCGCGGGCGGUGCGCGCAGGCCCACUGACGCAAGCGGCAGCCAGGCCCUGCCGGCGGUGGCGCAGCUAGGGCUGCUGGUCGCGGUGGAGCGGGCGCGCGGCGACCAGAGCUUCUGGGCGCCCUACAUCCAGUCACUGCCGGCGGCGCCGUCCUGCGCCUGGGCGAUGCCGCCGCAGCAGCUAAAGGCGGCGCUGGUGGCGCUGGGGCCGACGGCGGAGGGCUGGGGGGCAGCGGUGGAGCGAGCGCGGGCUGGCGUGUACGGCAGGGCGGAGGCGGCUGUACGGAUGUACGGCCGACACCUUGAUGUGGAGCUGGACGUUGAGGACGUGGUGUGGGGCAUGGGGCAGGUGAGCUCGCGCGCGUCCUCAGCAUUCAGUGACCUUUAGCCAUCCCAACCAACCCAGAUGAGUAGGGUUGUGCCGCCCCUGAGAAUCAAAUUCCUUCUAAUGUUAGUUCUCCCUAUAACUAAUCUAGAACAGUAGGAUUAGCAAUAGAAGCUCGAGUCUAUCUCUUAGCCUGAUGACUUUUCCGGGCUGGCAUUUUACUGGGAUAGCCGCUCAUCUGGAUCCAGACGUUUGCAUGACUCGGUGGGACGGGAAACCGUGUGGGUGGGGUCGAACUGGGCUUCGUCGCCCCUGGUCUGGCGUGUCCGCGUGUGGCACGCCACCCAAACCCAACUUCCGCAUGAUAUGUUCGAUCAUACUGCCUAUUUCAGAGUGGCAGCGUACGUAGCGGCGCCCAGCUGCUUGUCGCCAUACUUUUAGGUUUUGGACUCGUUGGGCUUUCCCGGAGGGUCCGGCUUGUCAGCAUGCUGUGCCAUUGUUUGAUAACUAAUAGUUAUUUGACGUACGAGUGUUUGACACAGAAAGGAGUGAAAACCUCUGCUUUACCGCCAAUUUUGCAGCGACUGGGUCCAGAUUUCGGCACGUUCUACUGCGGAAACGCUCUACCCCUCCUCUGCAGAACUUCUCAAAACUACAUUAUAUUAAUGUAGAAUUGUUCUAGGCUAUAUUUCUAUUUCUCAGGGGCGGCACAACCCUACAGAUGAGCUGUUCAAGCUGUUCUGCUGUUACGGUACUGCGUUGGUGCAGGUUCUGUCGCGGGCGUACGGCCACGAGCCGGACCUAGGCCUGGCUCCCUUCAUCGACCUGUGCAACCACACGCUGGGAGCCCCACGACCCCGCGGCAUGACGCUCGAGGAAGCUCCGGAGGCAACUGGCGACCCGGUGCGAGAAGUGUCGUACGCGGUGGUUGAGAGCAGCCGGUACGGCGAGCCGUUGCCGUUGGCGGUUGGGGACGAGGUGUACGUCACAUACGCGGCGGACGGCGGGGACCCGCUGGCGGCGUUUUUGAACCUAGGGUUCGUGCCGCCGGAGAUAGUGCUGGAGGCGGGCAUGAGGGAGCCGCGGCGCCGCGGUCCCAUGUGCACAUAGGCAUUCCGGUUGUGGGGUUAUGUAGGGGUAAUAGGCUGGGCGACGGGUGUGUGAGUACUGGAGACGUGGCUGGAGAGCCAUUCAUGGGGGCGCAGCGGCGGCGUGAUUGGAGAGGCUGCUCAUGCGCGGGCUUGAGCUGCCGCAGCAGCUGGGGUGGUGGGCGUCCUCGUGGGCAAGCAUGGCGGCAACAGGUGAUUGAGGCGGCGUGGUUGAGGUGCGAGAGUGGGAAAGUAGAGAGGGGAUCGGAUCGAUGUUUGAGUGAGCGCAGUGGUGUGGUUAAUACACGUCCGUCACAGCAGUGGUACGGGAUACCGUCAUGCCAUGUUCGUGUGCACAGACGACCAUGUUGUACGAUGAUUUAGUAUCCGAAUUAAUGCUGUAGCAGCAAACGAACUAAAGCGCGGCACGUUCGUGCCAGAAUCAAGCGUCGUGGAGCAGGUGACAAUGAACUUGCGUGUCCCACAUGGAGAAAGGAGUGAACGCGGUGAUGAAGUAUGCUGGCAAUGAUUGAGUGGCGCUGAGAUGCGCAUGUGUGCUUGUGAGUCGUAAGGCGAAGGUGAGAUGUAGGGUGAGCAGAGGCGGCGCUGCUGCAGGAACUGGCCAUGUCGUCAAGAGCUGGUGCAGCUGCGAGCGCUUGAUUGAGGGAAAUGCGGAGAAGUGUGGACGAGAGUCGAGAGAGAAGUUGUGAGGUAUACAGGAACAGAGCGCGUGUGAUGAGAGUGGGGAGCUGCCUGGACUGGCAUGCAGCUGCUUGUGUGUGUUGGGAUUAAGGGCCCGCUCGCAGUCUUGACAUCCCCAUUGCCAUAUACCGUACACGUGCACGAUGACACGGCACACGUACCCGCCAUGCUGCAGACCGCCAUCCCGCUGGCAUGCGCGGUGCUGCUGGACCAGCCCCCGAUGUACGUGCUGGUCGCGUGGGCGGCGCGCAUGCCGGGUGCGUGGCGCAGCGCGGCGUGCGUGACUGACUCCCCGCCGUCCAGCGCCCCCCCUCCAACUACCCAACUUACGUCAAUGAACGUGUGCUCGCCCCAUGGGUCCCAUGCAUUGUAUAGGUAAGCUUUGUCUCCAUCACUCUAGGCACCAAUACACCAAUACACCCAUUGGUAGCUGCUCUGCUGCAGUCUGGCAGCUUCUCCAAUGCUUGUCGUAUAACUGCCCCUUGGUGGCAUAGGUAUUCAACAACAAGUCUGCGAGUCCAGCGUGGCACGUGCACAUCUUUCACCAGCCGCGCAGAAGUCCACUCUCAGUCGCGCCGCGCGCCAACAGCCACUCAGCGAUGCGCGCUCGACUGCAGCCCCGGUCGCAGCUUCCCUGCCGUCCGCCCGCGCAACUAUCCGCUCCCACUCUCGCAGCUACCCAACUCGCGUCACGUACCAUGCUGUCCAUGCACGUCCAGCCCUGGCACGCAGCCUCCCAGCUGCUCGUACAACUGCCAACUCCCACUCGCCGCUGCCCACCUACCAGCCCGACUCCUGUACGGCGGAGACGUGUGUGACGUACUCGAGCGAGUUAUUCGGCGGUUAGUCGGAGCAUUCCGAGAACCGCCACUUAUCUAAUUUUACCCGUGCAAAACGCAUCCGGCAGAAAGAAGAGGCACUUGCCGCAUGCUGCCAGCCAAUCAAGCUUGUCGCCACUCGAGCUCAUGCUUCCCUCAUGCCGCAGGCGUGAUCACGGUGUCGCGGCGCACAAUGGUGUCGCAAUAGCACAGCGCCUGUCGCUCACACGCACCCGCCGGCUGCAACUCCACCCGCCCAACCGCCUCAGCCACCUCAGUGCCACCGCCACCGCCAGCCGCCUCCUGCGCACACGGGCCCGCUGGCUGUUGACCCCGCGUGCUGCUUGACCCCACCACCACCACCGCCGCCGCCGCCGCCGCUUGUUCAGCUGCGGCCUUGCGGCCCUUGGGGCGCCGCCGUGAUGACGUGGCCAUGGCCAGCAGCCCUGGCCGGCGCUCGAUCACAGCUGACGCCGUUGUUGAAUUUGCCACGACGGCCUCCGGCGCCUCAUCGCCCGCCUCUUGUGCUGCAGGCUGCGGCUGCAGCUGCAGCAGCUGCUGCGGCGGCGGCGGUGGCUUGAUGUAGGGACAGAGGUCGGCCCCGGCCUCACGCUGCCACAGCCGCACCAGGCGUACGGCGGCGGUGCGGGCGCCCAUGAGGUUGCCGGCGCCGGGCCCCAGGCGCAGGGCGGCGUAGGCGCCCGCCACGAACACGUCCAGACCCUCACACCACCUGCGGGCCCAGGGUUGGGGCAGGGGCAGUUAGGGCAGGGGGCAGUUAGGGCACGUGGGCUGGAGUCUGGUCCGGUGGCGCGGCUGAGGCUUAUACGGGGGAUGAGCUCUCACAGUCACGCCGAUCCGAACACAGCACGGCGCGCACGCAAGCAAGAGUGCAAGACAGCAACACGACUGCGCACGCACCUGAGCUCGGGCGUGAGCUCCGGCAGCCCGCCGUGCAGCUCCACACGGCACUGCGCCUGCAGCCGCCGCAGCAGCGGGUCGCGACCCGCGUCCACCACACUGCCCGUGGCGCACCACACGUGGUCGGCAUGGAGCAGCAGCCCGCCCUCGCUGUCGUCGUCGUCACCGUCACCGUAGCGGCGGCAGGCGAGCCCGGGGGUGCCGCUGUUUUCGGCGGGCCCCUGGUGGCGCUGGGGGUACUGGGGGCGCUCCAGCGGGCGGGAAAGGUAGAGGUGCCAGCAGCCGGCGGCACGGUGCGGCGCCCAAGGUAGAGAGCCGUAGCCGCGCGCGCAAGCCGCCGCAGCCGUGCCGGCCCCUCUGCCGCAGGUGCUGGGACUGCGAGGGCUGCCGCAGCUGCCGCGGCUGCUGGGGGUGCGAGGGCUGCAGUCAUCCUCGCUGGCGCUGCUACUGCUGCAGUCGCUGCCGUCGUCGCCGCUGCCGCUGCUUCUGCCGCUGCUGCCGGUGCUCCGCGCGCCUGCUGUCGGCGGCACAAACCCGCCCGGCGGCACGCAGCAGCACUCGCUCCAAUCCGCCGCCUCCACCUCCACCUCUUCCUCCACCCUCAACACGCCCUUGGCCUGCAGAGCCCGCAGCACCGCCGCCGCCUCCGGCGUGGUGCUGCCGCCGCCCACUGCCGCCCGCAGCGCCGCCAGCCGGGCCGCCGGGCCGCCCGCCAGCCGCCCAAAGUCGUGCAGGUGCGCCUGGCGCAUGCGGCCCAGCCAGUGCACAUCCACAUCGAACUGCUUCACCUGUGUUGCACACGUUGGUGGAUGGGGGAUCGGAGACUUGGGUCGGGGGCUUGGGGUCCGGGGCUUGGGUGUGAGGCUAUUGUAUGCAUGCAUGUGCGGCAGUGUACGCAAGGCAGCAGUAAUGGAAUUGCGGAGGAAUGCGAUGGGCGAGCGCUGAGCGCGGCGGCGGAGAGUGAAGGCGUGUGUACAGGUGGUCAAGCAGGGCGCUGGCUUGAGUGUGGGCGAGGCGACACGCAUGCGUGUCCCUGCUAGAUGGCCGAUAGCGCACGACGCACAUAUCCUGUCCUGUGCCCACCCACGCACCUGCAGUUUGCGGCGCACCAGCAUGACCACGUCGGUACUGCCGUGCUGUGCCGCCAGCGCCACCAGCUGAGCCGCCGUCAGACCGCCGCCCACCACCACCACGCGCUGGCCCGCAAGGCUGCGGCAGCUGCUGUCAGCGCCGCCGCUGCAGCCUCGGCCGCCCGCAGCAGCGGCGGAGGCAGCGGCGCCACAGUCGUUGUCAGCGCCCGAGUGUGCCAGCGCGCGCGGCUUGCGGCAGGAGAAGCAGCGGGCCACUUCCCAGGCGUGGAGCAUGCGGCCAGCCCAGGGCGGGGGCGGGGCGGCUGCAGAUUCCACCGCCUUCACCAGUGCUGCCGCCGCCGGCUCGCUGUGAAGCGCGGCGGCGGGCUCAGCUGCUGCCAGCAGAUGAACCGGUUGCUGGGCGUCACCGUAGGGCCCAGACUGCGUGAAAUUAUCGGGCGCAUUGUCUGAAUGCAGGUACUGUGGCUUGGGUUGUGCCAGGCAGACCUUGUUGGGGCCGGGCAGCUGUGAGGGCGGCUGCGGCUCAACGGCAUCGGCGGGCGCUGCCUCAUCAGCAGUGUCACCCACAGCCGUUCUUAUCAUGUCAGUAGGCAUGCACGUUGCGCUGGACGUGCUGCUGGCAUGCACUGGCACGGGUGUGGGCGGCGUGGGCGCCACGACCCAGCCGUGAGCGAAGGGCGGCAGACGGGGCACGUUGGUUGAGCCCACCGCCAGCAGCACACGCCGCGCCGCCACCUGGCUGCCGUCACUGAGCGUGGCCACGCAGUGCGAGUAGCGGGGCGGGGCGGUGCCCGCGGAGGAGGAGGUGGAGGUGGAGGUGGAGGUGGUGGAGGCUGCGGCCGGCUCGCAGUAGGGCACCGGCGUGAGCUGCAGCACCUGCGGCAUGGGGGGUGGCAGGGAGACACGGAUCGGUCACCAGUCCGGCGUCCUCGCUCGAUCGUAGCAUCAGUCAGCCUGGCUGCUACGGCCCCCCGCCUCACACUAGCAACGCCCGACCGCAGGGCCACAACACCCUGGCCUAUCCUCUCCAUCCACUGAUGUGGGUUUGGGUCCGCCAUCCAACCCAACCCCAACAACCCAGGCCCUGCCCCAGCCCAACGGAGCUGCUCUGGACUGCUCCUUCCACCUGCUGCUACGCUGCCCAAGCCCGCCCGACUACCUAUGGUGAUGUGCCACAGCUCGCAUAUGCGGCUGCAGUUUCCCCUUGCAGCGCGACUGUUUCCUUACGGGAUUGGUUCAAAGUUAACCCCAGCCCAACCAGCCUGUCGGCCCGGGCCGCUACUUGCCUUGGCCCGCCGCACCGCCCCCGGGCUGUCCAGGCAGUAGCGCCGCACCACAGCGCCCACAAAGUCACGGAAGAGUGAGGUGCCGGGCAGGUCGAAGGGGCCGCGGAAGUCGGCGCUCUUACCCAUUACCUGGUGCGUGUGUGAAUGUGGGCAGGUGGGUGCGUGGAAGUAUUUAGUAGGCAUGCGUGUGUGCAGGUGUGGGCAGGUGUGGGUUGCGUUGCUGCCGUCACGGAUGCCUCCGCCCGCAGCCGCCUGCCUUUUACCGAUGCGCAUACAUGCUUCCUCCACCUAGCGCUAGCUUGACGCAGGAGUCUUCACCCCAUCCCGGCCCCGGCCCCAGCAGCCCCAUCAAGCCCCACCCGUGCAUCCGUACCUCCAUGGGCCGCAGCUCGCAGCAGCGGCGGCGCUGCUCCGCCCACAUCUCCAGGCUGUAGCUGCUGCUGGGAUCGGGGUGCACGCUGCUGGGGGAGCGCAGGUGCGCAAUGCCCAGGCCCGCGAACUGCGAGCAGGUGCGGUAGCCACGCGAAGGGGGGGUGUUAGUGCUGCUGGCGUCGGCGCAGGUGCGGUGUGGCCGUGUGGGUUCAGGACACGUCAGGGUCCAAGCGAGCAGCACCCCAACCCCCCCUACCACCGUACCGCCGUACACACCUGCUCGUCCCACCUCGACAUCCAGCUGCCGCGCUCGUCCACGAUGAGCACCCGCUCCCGCAGCCAGCGCACCAGCCGGUCACGGCGCGGGCCGCAGCCAGCCUGGUGCUGCUGGGCUCGCUGCAGGCUGGCCUUGGGCUUCACCUCGCGGCGGUAGCCGUCCACCGAAUCGUCAGGGUCCUGAUGAGAAUUACAAGGGAUUUGGGGGCUUGAGAGAGGAUUGUUGCGAAAGGGGCCGUCGGGCUCCUUUCAGGCGAGGCGGGCCCAGACUGGCAAUGUCGAGGGCGCACCUCUUCAAGCAGGCGACACAGCACGCUCAGCGCCGCGGGCCCAGCGCCGACUAUAAGAAGCUCGUACAUCAUGGAAUGUUCGCUCGAGCUGUCAGGGCCAGUGAAGAGGCCAACGCGGUUGCGGGCAGAUGGUCACAGCGCCAUGGUUUAAGCUCAAAUCAACACUAAUGAAGCUGACAAGGUAUACCAGGGUUGACCAUAUGGCAGAUUUCUGCUUAUGAUAGCCUAUAAUUGGGACCGGGUUGGAGGACUUGCCUCGGUACCAACGGCCCAACGACCUCCAUACGACCGACAUUUACGGCCUCGGCAGCGAGCGCCCAAAAAUAAAAACGCGCAAGACGUGCGCUUGUAUCAAAUGCAUACCAAUCGCCUGCCUAUCGCCUGCCGCUGUCGUCAGGCUGCCAAGGAAACUGCACACUGCUCCUUCCCUCCCCGAUAACAGAACUCCCGGCGUUCGUCCCCUUCCCCUCCUUUGCCCCACAUCAUCCUGCAGUAUGAGCAGCCGCCUUCCCUUGCGUCCACAGGAGCGGAAGUCACUUGCCUUUGCCGGCCGAAGCAGUCCCCAUCCGUUGAUUCCAUAAAGCCCAUAAGCAUCCACUAUGCGCCGCUUAAGCUUGACAUUUGCCUCACUUGACUUGACCCUCUGCCUCGCGCUUCUAGUUGUGAGACCAGCGCAAAGAUGCCGCGACCCCGCAUUCUGAUUUCUAACGAUGACGGGAUCAAUGCCCCGGGCAUUAAGGCGCUUGUUGCAGAACUAGUGAAGGUAAUGAAUUGACGUUCAGACGCAGUCGGUCAAGGGGGCCGUUGCCGAUCGAGAAUAGGAGGCGCCAAAUUCUGGGUCAGAUAAUUGAGCUGCGAAUUCUGUUCAGAGUAACCAUGGAUCAGCGCAGCAAACAUAAUCCAUUGCUGGUUGGCGGCGUUAGGCUCCUCCCCGGGCAGUGUCCCUGGCCACGCCCUGUGGUUUGGCGGGCAUUGCCCAAGCUCCUUCACCCGCGACCCUCUGCCUCCCUUCAGGCGGACUUUGCGGACGUGUACGUGUGCGCGCCCUCGGGCGAGCGCUCCGCGCAGUCGCACGCCAUCACCCUGGGCCGCUACCUCAGCUGCGUGCCCACCGAGCCCACCAGUGAGCAGCAGGCGGCGAGAGGGGCGCGGGGACGGCGGGAAAGGGAGCGCAAAGCCGCUGGAUGGAACCCGGGCCUGUGCAUGCUAUGGGUAGCGAGGCAGCCCGCUGCGGGAUUCUAGGAUCAGAUUAGGUGUGCGCAGGCCUCCCGUGGUGUGUACGGGGAUCCCAGUUCUUGAGCCGACCGCCUUCCGUUCUCGGGGACACUGCCAGACACAUGCCUUCUGGGCCUGCCCGCCCCUGCGCCCUCCAGCCGCGGGUGUGGUGGAGUCGUACGCGGUGGACGGCACGCCCGCGGACAGUGUCAUGCUGGCGCUGUGCAGCCCCGUGUUCCAGGUGGGGGUGGGGGGUGGGGGGCUAGGAGUUGGUGGGGGUGAAGGGUGGGGGUUAACUUUGAACCAAUCCCGUGUAAGUAAACAGUCGCGCUGCAACGAGAAACUGCAGCUGCAUGAAGGGUGGGGGUUGCAAGGUCAAAACAUUGGGAACAGAAUACCAGGAGAGUGGGGGGUAGGCCGUGGGGGUAGGCCGCGGGUUGGUGUGUGUUUGGGGCUGGGAAGGGGGCGCUAGUAGGACUGGAUGAAGAAGGGGUGAGAAGGAGGCGAAUGCUCGUGGAAGUGGGUUGGCGAGGGAUACGCGAACGCGCAACGACACAUUGCAGUCAGCCCUAUUUGGCCUGCUUACGUGCCACUCGCUCGCUUGGCCAGGACGUGUCAUUCGACCUGAUGAUUAGCGGCAUCAACCGGGGCGACAACGCCGGAUUGCAUGUCAUCUACAGUGGGACAGUGGGCGCGGCGCGCGAGGCGGCAUGCAAGGUGCGAGGUGGCGGAGCGGACCGGCGGACUAGGAUGGCCAGCCAGGCGGUGGGGGGGGGAUACGGCCGGGUGACUGGGGAGUGGGGACGGGCGCUCCCGGGGCCGUCAGAUGCAUGGUGCCACAGUGUCAGACCCGCCCUUCUUGGAGAUGCAACCAUAUGCCAUACAGAGCCCAUGCCUCGCCAACGCCUUGCCAAACACGCUGUCAACCCCCAGUUUCGAUCAACCUAUUUCCCCCACACGCGCGGGGUAUCUAACAGUGUCGAACCCGUCCCACUCUGCUCUCCCAACAUGCACGCACAACCCUCUCCCUUGUGCCUUCCUACCACACACACACACACACACACCUGCACACGCACACACACACACACACAUUUUUUCCUUGUGCUCUUUAACACACACAUAUUUUGCUCUUUAAUACGCACCUACACACCCACGCACGCACGCAGGGCAUCCCCGCCAUGGCACUUUCACUGGACAACCACCUGGCGCGCAAGACGGACGACUACGCGGUGUCCGCCAGCCUGGCGGUGGCGCUCGCCAAGGCGGCCCUGGGGGUGCUGCCGGGGCAGGAGGCGGGCGGCCGUGCGCCGGCGGCCUCGCUCAAGGGCGUGGUCAUCAACGUCAACUUCCCCAUCGCGCAGGGCCAGAUGCUUCAGGGGUUGUUCCUGGCGCGCCAGGUGCGGGCGGCUGUGGCAGGAGGUGGCAGGAGCGGGAGGUGGCAGUGGCAGAAGGUGGCAGUAGCUGGAGGCGGCGGCGGGCUGAAGGAGUCGGGCCCGUCUUAGUGGCGGGUGUAGUGGCGGCAAAAGCGGCAGCGGAGACCGGGAUCUUGCAUUGUGGGUGAACGGGCAGGGAGGCCUCCUGGGGCAGGACGCACCUGUGGCGGCGCGGAGCGGAAGGGGUGUGGGAGUGCGUCUCUCCCCGCCUUCCUCCUGAUGCACCCGCCCACCCUUAUUCGCUAUCUCUCCUACCUCCCCUGCCCGCCUUGCCCCGCCUCCCCCCUCUCCGCCCUGUCCUGCCCUGCCCUGCUUCACCCUGCCCCCGGCCCCGCCUCCGGCCCUGCCCGCCCUGCAGAGUUUGGCGUGUGUGUUCCCUGCCUUCAAGGAGGUGACCGAGGCGCCCGGCCCGCACCUGGCUGAGAUCGACGAGCACACGCCCAACAGCCGCGUGUUCCGCAACUAUGCCGGCAUGGUGCAGGAGUGAGUGGCGGUGUGUGUGUGUGUGUGUGUGUGUGUGUGCGUUACCUAAAAGCAUACAGAAGCCCGCCCAGACGGGGCAGGAGUUACUUGUGUAGUUGUGUGUGUGUGUGUGUGUGUGUGUGUGUGUGUGUUAGGGGAGGGAAAGGGGAACUGGCACAUACUGUGUCCGCGCUCAUGCGUGCGUGGCGUGACUCGAGCGGGGAGGAGCGGCGGAUGGCAAGGGACAGGGGCGCAGUGGUUGCAAUGUGGAGGUUGACGAGUGCGGGAUCAUCGGGCAUCAAUGGCCGCUGCGCAGCGGCUGCUGCAUCAUGGACAUUCUGUGUUAUGGAGAUUUCUGUUGUCCUGACAGUUAUGUGCCUGCUGGCCCCACACACACACUCACGCGCACAGGGACCAAGAGGAGGGCAAUGACGCGUACGCGCUCAAGAACGGCUGGGUGGCUGUCACGCCGCUGAGCUUGCUUUCGCACAUCCAGCUGGGACAGGUGCGUGGCCCGUGUUUUUGUUUAUUCGGUACCGUACGUGCAUGUGUGUGUGUGCGUAAUAAACGAAACGAAAGCCCGCUCAGACGUGUGCGUGUGCGCGCGUGCGGUUUGCAAGGUGCUACUCACACUCCCGCGCAUCCCUGCUAUGUACCACCCCUCAACCCUUUGCCGCCACGGCUGCUGCCGCCGUGGCUUGCUGGCUUGCAGGACCCCCGCGCGGAGAACGUGGUGAACGCCGUGUCUCAGAUCGUCACCCGGGCGGCGGCGGAGGCUGGUCUCUCGACCGGCGGUAUUCCCGCCAAGCUCUGAACGUCAGGUGUCGGUGCAAAUGCCGAUUGGAGCCAGGUUGCGGCACAACGACCAAAUGCCGUGGCGUGUGUCGAUGACCAGGCCUGUCUGGCGCUCGCGGCGGUGGCAUAGUAGGCGGUAGGCGGAGUAAAGCUAUCUCGCGCGAGGGAGCCCAAUAGCUAAAUUGCGGUGGCACUUGCAUGGUGACUGUAUUAGGACAUUCGGAUCUCGGGAUGUGUGUCUCGGACGGGGCACAGAGACUACACUAUGGCGUGGCGUGGCGGGCGGGCCUCUCAUGCCCGCUCCGCAGCUGGGUGCCGGCGUUGACGCUACAGAUGGAGCGGCUGCGAGUGCUUCCCUGAGACGAAGCAUUGUGCGCCGGCCAGUGAGCUUCUGUGCAAGCUGCCGCGAUGAUGGGCCAUUCCGUACACUGUCGGCUGUUGUGGUCCAUUUCCUGGGGGGAAAGGCUGCUGGAAAAGCAGCAGCAGGCAUACGGGGGGAAGGGGCAGGGCUCCUUCCGCACCAAAACAUGAGCAGCAACAGGGCUACUGUGUCAGGCGCUACGCAGCAUUCUCAAUAACAUCAUCUGGGGGCUCUGUGCAGCCGUGCAUGGUGGUUGCCAGCACGCCGAGGUGCACCCCAGUGGGACAGGGACACGGGCAGACAGGGUUAGGGAUAGAGGCUGCUAAGUGGAGGGACGGUACGCUUGACAACGGCAGGGUGAGGGAUUAGGCCAGAACAUGAUUGGGGACAGAGCUUGCAACGGGGCAGACGGAACGUGAUUGCCGGCGGCGAGGCGGGGCCAUGGACGGGGCUACGGGCAGGGCGACGCCACGGUUACUCGCACUGCCCAGCCGUUCACCUGUGCUGACAUGCAUGGCAGUCUGGCAGACCUCACGCAAGACCACUGGAUGAGGCGUGGCCGUGUGGGGCUCGUCGUCGCACUCAGCUGUUGGCAGGCCCCCGCUAGUUGCCCUGUGUCCGCCCUCUUCGGUGCUCAGCCUGACCAAGGCCUUGGGGGCGCCGGCAACCACAAACCCAACUGAGGCUGUAUACUUGGACGCAACCCAUCCGUGGCCAGGUUUCUAUCGACGUCCUCCGACAGUGAAGGGUUCCGCAAAACCGCCUCACCGACAUGUGAGACAUGCGACAUGUGCCCUCAGGUCUCUCAGCCCCUGUGCUCCUGGAGCGCUACGUUAUGCGCAGCAUGACCAUCGCAGCUACUCAAGAAAACAAAAGACCAUAAGCUGUGAGCCGUUGACUGAGUUGACCGUCGCGAAACAGCGUCCUUUCUCAGCAAGCCUUGCCAGCCGAACCCGAAUUUAUUUACCUUCACGGCAAUACACCAUGUACGUUUUGAAUGCCUGCAAUCGGGUUUCGGCCUCGCCCUGGGCCUGCUAAGAAAUUCACAACUCCCCGCGAGAAUGCUGGCCGUGCACUCAAUUAAAUAUGCUCAUGCAAGUAAGCUGAUUACAUGCAUAUUUGAGGAGCGGGGCGGGGCCAUUCCUCCAGGAAAUGGGGAACUCCUACCACAACCUCCUACAAUGUACGGAAUGGCCCAUCGCCGCGGGCAGCUUGCACUUAAGCUUGCCGGCCGGCGCGCACAGAUUCACCUUCAGGCAAGCACUCGCAGCCGCUCCAUCUGUAGCGUCGACCUUUCAGAACCACUCCAAAACAAUGGCCACUAUCUCGUCGAUGCGCGUUGGCGCUGCUUCCCGCGUGGUCGUCUCUGGCCGCGUGAAGGUGAGGCACUUGAUCGCACUUCUUCUUCAGUAGUGUCAAGGCGGCAGGUUCAUGGCGCGGCUUGAUAGGCGACCAGAGCGACUUGCAAGCUUGGCCUCGGCGCAAAUGCCGUUACACGACCGCGCUUGCUUGGCUUCGCGCGCCGAGCAGCGCAGCUGCAUGGCAAUGGUUGUUAUGAUCAUAGUCUCCACCACGCCUUGCUCUUCAGCCUUUCUGAUGCGACUGUUACUGUCCUUCGCGCGCCCUUGCAGACCGUGAAGGUCGCCGCCCGCGGCAGCUGGCGCGAGUCUUCCACUGCCACCGUGCAGGCCAGGUGAGCACACUUCUGCAGCUAUGAGAUGCAUCUGGGUCCAGCUUAAAGCGGCUCGCGUUGUGUGGCGCGCCGCGAUCCCUUAUCCGCUCGCCUGCCAGCCGGGCCUUUUCGCACUUGUUUCCUAAGUCAAGUUCGAACCUGCAGCUGGCUGUGCAUAUCUUGCUAAGUGAUAGCGCGGUUGUACGCGGUUUGAGUACGCUGCUCAACUGGUGUACUGACACGUUUGCUUGCCGUUUCCCCUGGUGCCCCUUCGCCCCUGCAGCCGCGCCUCGUCGGCCACCAACCGCGUGAGCCCCACCCGCUCCGUCCUGCCCGCCAACUGGCGCCAGGAGCUGGAGAGCCUGCGCAACGGCAACGGCUCCUCCUCGGCUGCCUCGUCGGCCCCCGCCCCGGCCCGCUCCUCGUCGGCCAGCUGGCGCGACGCCGCCCCGGCCUCGUCGGCCCCUGCCCGCUCCAGCUCUGCCUCCAAGAAGGCCGUGACCCCGUCGCGCAGCGCCCUGCCCUCCAACUGGAAGCAGGAGCUGGAGAGCCUGCGCAGCAGCUCCCCCGCCCCCGCCUCGUCGGCCCCCGCCCCGGCCCGCUCCUCGUCGGCCAGCUGGCGUGAUGCCGCCCCGGCCUCGUCGGCCCCCGCCCGCUCCAGCUCCUCCAAGAAGGCUGUGACCCCGUCGCGCAGCGCCCUGCCCUCCAACUGGAAGCAGGAGCUGGAGAGCCUGCGCAGCAGCUCCCCCGCCCCCGCCUCGUCGGCCCCUGCCCCGGCCCGCUCCUCGUCGGCCAGCUGGCGUGACGCCGCCCCGGCCUCGUCGGCCCCUGCCCGCUCCAGCUCUGCCUCCAAGAAGGCCGUGACCCCGUCGCGCAGCGCCCUGCCCUCCAACUGGAAGCAGGAGCUGGAGAGCCUGCGCAGCAACUCCCCUGCCCCCGCCUCGUCGGCCCCUGCCCCGGCCCGCUCCUCGUCGGCCAGCUGGCGUGACGCCCCCGCCUCGAGCUCCAGCUCGAGCGCCGACAAGGCCGGCACCAACCCCUGGACUGGCAAGUCCAAGCCCGAGAUCAAGCGCACCGCCCUGCCCGCUGACUGGCGCAAGGGCCUGUAAGCAGCUUGCCUAACCAGCAGCUGGCUUAAAGCAUGAUGC